UACGGAGGAUGCAAGCGUUAUCCGGAAUGAUUGGGCGUAAAGCGUCCGCAGGUGGCUGUGUAAGUCUGCUGUCAAAGAGCGAAGCUCAACUUCGUAAAGGCAGUGGAAACUACACGGCUAGAGUGCGUUCGGGGCAGAGGGAAUUCCUGGUGUAGCGGUGAAAUGCGUAGAUAUCUGGAGGAACACCGGUGGCGAAGGCGGCGUUCUGGACUGCAACUGACACUGAGGAACGAAAGCCAGGGGAGCAAACGGG
rnacentral:rRNA from 1 species